rnacentral:rRNA from 2 species
UUCUGUAGGGUGAACCUGCGGAAGGAUCAUUA